rnacentral:rRNA from 1 species
CCUACGUGAGGCAGCAGUGAGGAAUAUUGGUCAAUGGACGGAAGUCUGAACCAGCCAUGCCGCGUGCAGGAAGACGGCUCUAUGAGUUGUAAACUGCUUUUGUACAAGGGUAAACCUGAAUACGUGUAUUCAGCUGACAGCACUUUACUAAUAAGGAUCGGCUAACUCCGUCCCAGCAGCCGCGGUAAAACGGAGGAUCCAAGCGUUAUCCGGAUUUAUUGGGUGUAAAGGGUGCGUAGGCGGAUUGAUAAGUUAGAGGUGAAAUGUCCGAGCUUAACUCGGGAACUGCCUCUAAUACUGUUGAUCGUGAGAGUAGAUGCGGUAGGCGGAAUGUAUGGUGUAGCGGUGAAAUGCUUAGAGAUCAUACAGAACACCGAUUGCGAAGGCAGCUUACCAAUCUAUAUCUGACGUUGAGGCACGAAAGCGUGGGGAGCAAACAGGAUUAGAUACCCGAGUAGUC